UCUUUCCUAGCUUUUGGUGGCUGCUAGUAGU
rnacentral:piRNA from 1 species